AAAAACCUUACCAAGGUUUGACAUCCCUCGCAAAGCUAUAGAAAUAUAGUAGAGGUUAUCGAGGUGACAGGUGGUGCAUGGCUGUCGUCAGCUCGUGUCUUGAGAUGUUUGGUUAAGUCCCGCAACGAGCACAACCCCACUCUUUAGUUACUUGUCUAAAGAGACUGCACAGUAAUGUAGAGGAAGGAUGGGAUCACGUCAAGUCAUCAUGCCCCUUAUGCCUUGGGCUGCAAACGUGCUACAAUGGCGAACACAAUGUGUUGCAAACCAGCGAUGGUAAGCUAAUCACCAAAUUUCGUCUCAGUUCGGAUAGGAGGCUGCAAUUCGCCUCCUUGAAGUUG
rnacentral:rRNA from 1 species